GACGAACGCUGGCGGCGUGCUUAACACAUGCAAGUCGAACGAAAAGAGGGAAAGAGCUUGCUCUUUCCGGAAUUGAGUGGCAAACGGGUGAGUAACACGUAAACAACCUGCCUUCAGGAUGGGGACAACAGACGGAAACGACUGCUAAUACCGAAUAAGUUCCAAGAGCCGCAUGGCCCAUGGAAGAAAAGGUGGCCUCUACCUGUAAGCUAUCGCCUGAAGAGGGGUUUGCGUCUGAUUAGCUGGUUGGAGGGGUAACGGCCCACCAAGGCGACGAUCAGUAGCCGGUCUGAGAGGAUGAACGGCCACACUGGAACUGAGACACGGUCCAGACUCCUACGGGAGGCAGCAGUGGGGAAUCUUCCGCAAUGGGCGAAAGCCUGACGGAGCAACGCCGCGUGAGUGAUGACGGCCUUCGGGUUGUAAAACUCUGUGAUCCGGGACGAAAAGGCAGAGUGCGAAGAACAAACUGCAUUGACGGUACCGGAAAAGCAAGCCACGGCUGACUACGUG
rnacentral:rRNA from 1 species